GACAGAGGGUGCAAGCGUUGUUCGGAAUUAUUGGGCGUAAAGGGCGCGUAGGUGGCCUCGUAAGUCAGAUGUGAAAGCCCAGGGCUCAACCCUGGAAGUGCAUCUGAUACUGCAAGGCUUGAGUCUCGGAGAGGAUGGCGGAAUUCCCAGUGUAGAGGUGAAAUUCGUAGAUAUUGGGAGGAACACCGGUGGCGAAGGCGGCCAUCUGGACGAAGACUGACGCUGAGGCGCGAAAGCGUGGGGAGCAAACAGG
rnacentral:rRNA from 1 species